rnacentral:rRNA from 1 species
UACAGAGGGGGCAAGCGUUGUUCGGAAUUACUGGGCGUAAAGGGCGCGUAGGCGGCCUUCUAAGUCGAACGUGAAAUCCCCGGGCUCAACCCGGGAACUGCGUCCGAUACUGGAAGGCUUGAAUCCGGGAGAGGGAUGCGGAAUUCCAGGUGUAGCGGUGAAAUGCGUAGAUAUCUGGAGGAACACCGGUGGCGAAGGCGGCAUCCUGGACCGGCAUUGACGCUGAGGUGCGAAAGCGUGGGGAGCAAACAGG